rnacentral:rRNA from 1 species
UCGCCUGUUUAUCAAAAACAUCGCCUCCUGCAACUUUAUAUGUAUAGGAGGUCCAGCCUGCCCAGUGACUACGGGUUCAACGGCCGCGGUAUUUUGACCGUGCAAAGGUAGCGCAAUCACUUGUCUUUUAAAUAAAGACCUGUAUGAAUGGCUAGACGAGGGCUUAGCUGUCUCCCCCUUCCAGUCAGUGAAAUUGAUCUAUCCGUGCAGAAGCGGAUAUACUCCUACAAGACGAGAAGACCCUUUGGAGCUUAAGGUACAAAGAUUAAUCAUGUUAAACAACUUGAUAAAGAGAUAAGAACUUAAUGAGACAUAAUCUUUUACCUUCGGUUGGGGCGACCACGGAGGAAAAACAAGCCUCCAAGAGGAACGGGUAUUUACCCUAAAGCUUAGAGAGACCUCUCUACGCCGCAGAACAUCUGACCAGUAAUGAUCCGGCAUAAAGCCGAUCAACGGACCAAGUUACCCUAGGGAUAACAGCGCAAUCCUCUCCCAGAGUCCAUAUCGACGAGGGGGUUUACGACCUCGAUGUUGGAUCAGGACAUCCUAAUGGUGCAGCCGCUAUUAAGGGUUCGUUUGUUCAACGAUUAAAGUCCUACGUGAUCUGAGUUCAGACCG